AACAAACGCUGGCGGCGUGCCUAAUACAUGCAAGUCGAACGGGGAAAGCUUUCGGGUGAGUACUAGUGGCGCACGGGUGAGUAACGCGUGGAUAAUCUGCCUUAGAGUGGGGGAUAACUGGUCGAAAGAUUAGCUAAUACCGCAUAAGACCACAGGAACCGAGGUUCUAGAGGUCAAAGGUUUUUCGCUCUAAGAUGAGUCCGCGUAAGAUUAGCUAGUUGGUGAGGUAACGGCUCACCAAGGCAACGAUCUUUAACUGGGCUGAGAGGAUGAUCAGUCACACUGGAACUGAGACACGGUCCAGACUCCUACGGGAGGCAGCAGUAGGGAAUAUUGCACAAUGGAGGAAACUCUGAUGCAGCGACGCCGCGUGAGUGAUGAAGGCCUUCGGGUCGUAAAGCUCUGUCGCAGGGAAUAACACAAUGAAUGUACCCUGUAAGAAAGGAUCGGCUAACUUCGUGCCAGCAGCCGCAGUAAGAC
rnacentral:rRNA from 1 species